GACGAACGCUGGCGGCGUGCUUAACACAUGCAAGUCGAGCGGUAAGGCCUUUCGGGGUACACGAGCGGCGAACGGGUGAGUAACACGUGGGUGAUCUGCCCUGCACUCUGGGAUAAGCCUGGGAAACUGGGUCUAAUACCGGAUAUGACUACAUGCUGCAUGGUGUGUGGUGGAAAGAUUUAUCGGUGCAGGAUGGGCCCGCGGCCUAUCAGCAUGUUGGUGGGGUAAUGGCCUACCAAGGCGACGACGGGUAGCCGACCUGAGAGGGUGACCGGCCACACUGGGACUGAGACACGGCCCAGACUCCUACGGGAGGCAGCAGUGGGGAAUAUUGCACAAUGGGCGGAAGCCUGAUGCAGCGACGCCGCGUGAGGGAUGAAGGCCUUCGGGUUGUAAACCUCUUUCAGCAGGGACGAAGCGUGAGUGACGGUACCUGCAGAAGAAGCACCGGCUAACUACGUGCCAGCCGCCGCAGUAA
rnacentral:rRNA from 1 species